CCUUCGAUAGCUCAGAUGGUAGAGCGGUGGACUGUAGAUCCAUAGGUCGCUGGUUCAAAUCCGGCUCGAAGGA